UUCAGGGGUAAACCUGAGAAACCCGAAAGGUCGAAAGGGGAGAUUCAGCGUGUCUCGAUCGUGGCGCUGGACGGUCGUGCGACGGACGGCGUACGCGUCGUCCGCGCCUAUCGUUCUCCGAACUGCGGUCGAACGCGUGCACUUCUCCCCCUGUAGGACGUCGCGAUUCGUUGGGUGCCGGCCUAAGGCCCGAAGUGGAGUUCGUCCGGACGUUUCGGCGUUCGUGACGAACCUUCGGUGUUUUCCGGUCGGCUCGCUCGACGAUAUACAGAUGGCGCGGGGCCGCUACAUUAGUUAGCGUUCGACCUUCGGCAAGCGCGCUUCUCGCGACGGUGAUCGGACCUGGUGCCGGUCCCGUCCCCGGGCGACUGUUGGCCGAGGUGUUCUCGAACAGACCUCGUCGAAACGCCGAUCUGCGACGCUAUAGCUUUGGGUACUUUCAGGACCCGUCUU
rnacentral:rRNA from 1 species